UGGGGAAUAUUGGGGCAAUGGGGGAAACCCUGACCCAGCAACGCCGCGUGAAGGAAGAAGGCCUUCGGGUUGUAAACAUUCUUUUUCAUCCACGGGAGCGAAGGACGUGACGGUACCUGGAGAAAAAGCAACGGCUAACUACGUGCCAGCAGCCGCGGUAAUACGUAGGUUGCGAGCGUUGUCCGGAUUUACUGGGUGUAAAGGGCGUGUAGGCGGAGAAGCAAGUUGGGAGUGAAAUCUAUGGGCUCAACCCAUAAACUGCUCUCAAAACUGUUUCCCUUGAGUAUCGGAGAGGCAAGCGGAAUUCCUAGUGUAGCGGUGAAAUGCGUAGAUAUUAGGAGGAACACCAGUGGCGAAGGCGGCUUGCUGGACGACAACUGACGCUGAGGCGCGAAAGCGUGGGGAGCAAACAGGAUUAGAUACC
rnacentral:rRNA from 1 species